rnacentral:rRNA from 1 species
GACGAACCGUGCGACCGUUAUUCGGAAUCACUGGGCUUAAAGGGCGCGUAGGCGGGCCGCCCAGUCAGUGGUGAAAUCCUCCGGCCCAACCGGAGAAGUGCCUUUGAUACUGGCGGCCUCGAGGGAGGUAGGGGCCUGCGGAACUUCCGGUGGAGCAGUGAAAUGCGUAGAUAUCGUGAGGAACACCAGAGGCGAAGGCGGUUACCUGGAAAAUUACUGACGCUCAGGCACGAAAGCAUGGGGAGCAAAAGGG